rnacentral:rRNA from 1 species
UCGAGAGGCUUCGGCAAUGGGGGAAACCCUGACCGAGCGACGCCGCGUGGGGGAUGAAGGCCCUUGGGUUGUAAACCCCUUUUGUUCGGGAAGAAAUGCGAUCAGGUGAAUAAUCUGGUCGUUUGACGGUACCGGACGAAUAAGCUCCGGCUAACUCCGUGCCAGCAGCCGCGGUAACACGGGGGGAGCAAGCGUUGUUCGGAAUCACUGGGCGUAAAGGGCGUGUAGGCGGUCAGGUAAGUGAAAUGUGAAAUGCCUCGGCUCACCCGAGGACCGGCAUCUCAUACUGCCUGACUUGAGUACGGGAGAGGAUGUGGGAAUUCCUGGUGUAGCGGUGAAAUGCGUAGAUAUCAGGAGGAACACCGGUGGCGAAGGCGCACAUCUGGCCCGAUACUGACGCUGAGGCGCGAAAGCUAGGGGAGCAAACGGG